rnacentral:rRNA from 1 species
AUUGAACGCUGGCGGCAGGCCUAACACAUGCAAGUCGAGCGAGCGGCGGACGGGUGAGUAAUGUCUGGGAAACUGCCUGAUGGAGGGGGAUAACUACUGGAAACGGUAGCUAAUACCGCAUAACAUCAGAUGUGCCCAGAUGGGAUUAGCUAGUAGGUGGGGUAACGGCUCACCUAGGCGACGGUCCCUAGCUGGUCUGCGGGGAUGACCAGCAACACUGGAACUGAGACACAGUCCUAACUCGUACGGGAGUCAUCAGUGGCGUAUAUUGCACAAUUUGCGCAAUCCUGAUGCAGCCAUGCCGAUUGUGUGAAGAUGGCCUUCGGAUUGUAAAGCACUUUCAGCGGGUAGGCGUUACCCGCAGAAGAAGCACCGGCUAACUCAGUGCCAGCCGCCGCGGUAAUUC